UGGAGCCAACCUUGAAAUACCACCCUGGCAACUUUGAGGUUCUAACUCAGGUCCGUUAUCCGGAUCGAGGACAGUGUAUGGUGGGUAGUUUGACUGGGGCGGUCUCCUCCUAAAGAGUAACGGAGGAGUACGAAGGUGCGCUCAGACCGGUCGGAAAUCGGUCGUAGAGUAUAAAGGCAAAAGCGCGCUUGACUGCGAGACAGACACGUCGAGCAGGUACGAAAGUAGGUCUUAGUGAUCCGGUGGUUCUGUAUGGAAGGGCCAUCGCUCAACGGAUAAAAGGUACUCUGGGGAUAACAGGCUGAUUCCUCCCAAGAGU
rnacentral:rRNA from 1 species